UCAGUCAUAAUACGAUUGUAAUUAUCCCAAACUUGGGAGUGAUGCGCAUUUUGUAGUAUUGGUCCUAUGGACCUUUUUCAUCUGUAGAAUUAAAUCAAUUGCAUACCAACAUUAUUGCAUCGUCGGACAAAAUAGAUUAAAAAUUUUGCCAAAAAAACGAGGGUUAACUUCAGAUUAGAGACAGAAAGGCAUGUGCUAUUAAAUAAAAUAUUGAAAGAAGAAAUUACGGGAAAACAAGAAGACACAAAAGAUUCUGAAAAAAAAAUAUUUGUGAACGAAAUACAAAAAUGUUGAUAACAACGUAUCUUUCAUAACAAAGAAAACAUUUCAUCCCCCACGCAUAGCUAUAGUAAACAUAGUCACCGCCGCCGGGACGCGCUCACUACCAUAUAAGGUAAUGUCUGCUACCGGGGCCGACAAAUAACAAAAAUAAAACGUACAAUAACACAGAACUUUAACCUUUAAUUCAUACAGAAUAAAGACCAGAAUUCCAUGCAGGUUAUCAACCAAGGGGAUGGGGAAUGCACCCCCAAAAACACAACUUUGCAUUAUAUAAGUCGGUGACGGAUCGAUGGUGAGCUGAGCGCUGCAGGUGCCAUUCCAAGGCAAUAUCAACCGUAAAUUUUAGCCGUUAAGGUUUGGAAUCCAUUGUUUGUGAUACAGGGAUGGUUUGCACCCCUUCUUUUAGCUCGUCUAGCUCAGAUUCGAGACUCGGCAGUGCGUCGCCCGCCGCCGAGCGAGCGUGACGCGUCUCUCCGGGUCUCCGCAGCGCAGUCCUAACAGACUCCACUGAGGUUCCAGUUGCACCCUGCGGCUGCCGUGGGGUGGCCCACCCCACUCGUCCCCUCUCCAGCCCCUCUACCCCACACCAGCAGCCACACCUAACGCCGACGCCCGAAGCUCUCACAGACUAACUUAUCCCAGCGAUAAGUAGUCUGUGAGAGUGGUCUCAAUGCGAGCGAUGACGCACGAAGAUCAAAUGCCUAAGUAUUGGAGGAGAUCAGACAUCACGUCGCCGCUGUUGAGACGCUGCCAGCCGUCACCUGCGGGCAGUCCAGCGCGCGCCGGCCCCGACCGGGGUCAGAGCCACCAACCUGAUCACCUCCAAAAAUCCCCGGACGUGACUUCAAAAGACUUGUCACCAGGAUGAAAGUAUCUGGUGACACCAAACCACCCGGAUAUGUAAAUUUAUGGUAUUCAAGUAAUUAACCCCGGCGCGGAUCGAAACUCCUUCGUUUCAUAUGAUCCGCUCCUGACGUAGUUAUUGGAUACCCGCUCUGAAGGAGGCAGUGAUGCAGCCUGGCGCGGCCUGUCCAAUGCAUCAGACCAGCACCACUUCCCUGCAGAGCCUCGCACGCGAAUAGUUUUGCCUAUCAUGUGGACCUAUUGCUAUAAUAAACAUAUUAAAGUACACCAAAUCCUACUGGUAGACCCUUUUUUUUUUUUGUGAAUACUAGUCAGUAAAUUUAAUUAUAAGGAAA